rnacentral:rRNA from 1 species
AUUGAACGCUGGCGGCAUGCCUUACACAUGCAAGUCGAACGGCAGCACGGGUGCUUGCACCUGGUGGCGAGUGGCGCACGGGUGAGUAAUACAUCGGAACAUGUCCUGUAGUGGGGGAUAGCCCGGCCAAAGCCGGAUUAAUACCGCAUACGAUCUACGGAUGAAAGCGGGGGACCUUCGGGCCUCGCGCUAUAGGGUUGGCCGAUAGCUGAUUAGCUAGUUGGUGGGGUAAAGGCCUACCAAGGCGACGAUCAGUAGCUGGUCUGAGAGGACGACCAGCCACACUGGGACUGAGACACGGCCCAGACUCCUACGGGAGGCAGCAGUGGGGAAUUUUGGACAAUGGGCGAAAGCCUGAUCCAGCAAUGCCGCGUGUGUGAAGAAGGCCUUCGGGUUGUAAAGCACUUUUGUCCGGAAAGAAAUCCUUGGCUCUAAUACAGUCGGGGGAUGACGGUACCGGAAGAAUAAGCACCGGCUAACUACGUG